AAUUGUUCGCAAUGGGCGAAAGCCUGACGACGCAACGCCGCGUGGAGGAUGAAGACCUUCGGGUCGUAAACUCCUUUCGACCGAGAAGAAUGGCCUACGACCUCAUACGUCGUAGGCAUGACGGUAUCGAGGGAAGAAGCCCCGGCUAACCCUGUGCCAGCAGCCGCGGUAAUACAGGGGGGGCGAGCGUUGUCCGGAAUCACUGGGCGUAAAGGGCGCGUAGGCGGCAUGCCAAGCGUGUGGUGAAAGCCCGGGGCUCAACCCCGGGUCGGCCGUGCGGACUGGCAUGCUCGAGCACUGUAGGGGCGGGUGGAAUUCCGGGUGUAGCGGUGGAAUGCGUAGAGAUCCGGAAGAACACCGGUGGCGAAGGCGGCCCGCUGGGCAGGAAGACGGAACAAUCCGUCGGCUGACGCUGAGGCGCGACAGCGUGGGGAGCAAAC
rnacentral:rRNA from 1 species